GAAACAAUCAACACACAAUUUCCUUUAUAUUAUUAUCUAUAUUGUGUUAACAUCAAUAAUCAAAAAUAUUUCCUACCCAAAUUCUGUGGUCGUCUAUUUAUCUCCCUUACUUAUCAAAUUAAUUUUACACAAACCUUUAUUUUACAGCUUAAAAGAAACCACAACAACCCAAACAAUUAAAACACCAAAAACUAGAAUUCCAAAAAAGACGAAUCAUUAAUG
rnacentral:lncRNA from 1 species